GAUGAACGCUGGCGGCGUGCCUAAUACAUGCAAGUCGAGCGAACGGACGAGAAGCUUGCUUCUCUGAUGUUAGCGGCGGACGGGUGAGUAACACGUGGAUAACCUACCUAUAAGACUGGGAUAACUUCGGGAAACCGGAGCUAAUACCGGAUAAUAUUUUGAACCGCAUGGUUCAAAAGUGAAAGACGGUCUUGCUGUCACUUAUAGAUGGAUCCGCGCUGCAUUAGCUAGUUGGUAAGGUAACGGCUUACCAAGGCAACGAUGCAUAGCCGACCUGAGAGGGUGAUCGGCCACACUGGAGCGGAGACACGGUCCAGACUCCUACGGGAGGCAGCAGUAGGGAAUCUUCCGCAAUGGGCGAAAGCCUGACGGAGCAACGCCGCGUGAGUGAUGAAGGUCUUCGGAUCGUAAAACUCUGUUAUUAGGGAAGAACAUAUGUGUAAGUAACUGUGCACAUCUUGACGGUACCUAAUCAGAAAGCCACGGCUAACUACGUG
rnacentral:rRNA from 1 species